rnacentral:rRNA from 1 species
UGAACGCUGGCGGCAGGCCUAACACAUGCAAGUCGAGCGGAUGACAGGAGCUUGCUCCUGAAUUCAGCGGCGGACGGGUGAGUAAUGCCUAGGAAUCUGCCUGGUAGUGGGGGACAACGUUUCGAAAGGAACGCUAAUACCGCAUACGUCCUACAGGAGAAAGCAGGGGACCUUCGGGCCUUGCGCUAUCAGAUGAGCCUAGGUCGGAUUAGCUAGUUGGUGAGGUAAUGGCUCACCAAGGCGACGACGGGUAGCCGGCCUGAGAGGGCGACCGGCCACACUGGGACUGAGACACGGCCCAGACUCCUACGGGAGGCAGCAGUGGGGAAUAUUGGGCAAUGGAGGCAACUCUGACCCAGCGACGCCGCGUGCGGGAUGAAGGCCUUCGGUUGUAACCGCUUUCAGUAGGAAGAAGCGAAAGUGACGGUACCUACAAAGAAGCACCGGCUAACUAUGUGCCAGCAG